UACGUAGGGCGCAAGCGUUGUUCGGAAUUACUGGGCGUAAAGCGCACGUAGGCGGAUCAGUCAGUCAGGGGUGAAAUCCCGGGGCUCAACCCCGGAACUGCCUUUGAUACUGCUGGUCUGGAGGAUGGGAGAGGCGAGUGGAAUUCCGAGUGUAGAGGUGAAAUUCGUAGAUAUUCGGAGGAACACCAGUGGCGAAGGCGGCUCGCUGGCCCAUUUCUGACGCUGAGGUGCGAAAGCGUGGGGAGCAAACAGG
rnacentral:rRNA from 1 species